rnacentral:rRNA from 1 species
CACGUAGGGGGCGAGCGUUGUCCGGAAUUACUGGGCGUAAAGGGCGCGUAGGCGGCCUAAUAAGUCAGAUGUGAAAACCCUGGGCUUAACCCUGGGAUUGCAUUUGAAACUGUUGGGCUUGAGGGCAGGAGAGGAAAGCGGAAUUCCCAGUGUAGCGGUGAAAUGCGUAGAUAUUGGGAGGAACACCAGUGGCGAAGGCGGCUUUCUGGACUGAACCUGACGCUGAGGCGCGAAAGCCAGGGUAGCGAACGGGAUUAGAUACCCCGGUAGUCCUGGCCGUAAACGAUGGAUACUAGGUGUGGGAGGUAUCGACCCCUUCCGUGCCGGAGCAAACGCAAUAAGUAUCCCGCCUGGGGAGUACGGCCGCAAGGCUGAAACUCAAAGGAAUUGACGGGGGCCCGCACAAGCGGUGGAGCAUGUGGUUUAAUUCGAUGCAACGCGAAGAACCUUACCAGGUCUUGACAUCCCUCUGACGUGUAUAGAGAUAUACAUUCUCUUCGGAGCAGAGGAGACAGGUGGUGCAUGGCU